ensembl:snRNA U6 U6 spliceosomal RNA
AUUUCAGCAGCAGUUUUAUAUAUGAAAACUGGAAUAAUACAGAGAAGAUUAGCAUGGCCCCUGAAUGAGGAUGGCAUGCAAAUUUAUGGGGCAUUCCAUAUUUUU